UACAGAGGUCCCAAGCGUUGUUCGGAUUCACUGGGCGUAAAGGGUGCGUAGGUGGUCGGGUAAGUCUGAUGUGAAAGCUCUGGGCUCAACCCAGAAAUGGCAUUGGAUGACUAUCUGGCUAGAGGAAUGGAGGGGGGACUGGAAUACUUGGUGUAGCAGUGAAAUGCGCAGAUAUCGGGAGGAACACCAAUUGCGAAGGCAGCUCGCUGGGACGUCACUGACGCUGAGACGGCGAAAAGCGUGGGGGAGCCAAACAGGGAAUUAAGAAAACCCC
rnacentral:rRNA from 1 species